GAUGAACGCUGACAGAAUGCUUAACACAUGCAAGUCUUUGGCGAAGCUGUGCUUGCACAGCCUAGCCAAGGCGGACGGGUGAGUAACGCGUAAGGAACUUGCCCUGCAGUCAGGGAUAACAGACGGAAACGACUGAUAAGACCUGGUAAAGUCAGGCGGACUCAUGUCCAGCCUGAUGAAAAGAGAUGCUGCAGGAGAGCCUUGCGUCCUAUUAGCUUGUUGGUGGGGUAACGGCCCACCAAGGCGAUGAUAGGUAGCCGGCCUGAGAGGGUGGACGGCCACAAGGGGACUGAGAUACGGCCCUUACUCCAACGGGAGGCAGCAGUGGGGAAUAUUGGACAAUGGGGGCAACCCUGAUCCAGCAAUUCUGUGUGCACGAUGAAGGUUUUCGGAUUGUAAAGUGCUUUCAGCAGGGAAGAAAAAAAUGACGGUACCUGCAGAAGAAGCGACGGCUAAAUACGUG
rnacentral:rRNA from 1 species